rnacentral:rRNA from 1 species
UACGUAGGGAGCAAGCGUUGUCCGGAAUCAUUGGGCGUAAAGCGCGUGUAGGCGGUUACAUAAGUCUGUUGUGAAAGUCGGAGGCUCAACCUUCGAAAGCCGAUGGAUACUGUGUGACUUGAGUACGGAAGAGGAGAGUGGAAUUCCUGGUGUAGCGGUGAAAUGCGCAGAUAUCAGGAGGAACACCAACGGCGAAGGCAGCUCUCUGGGACGUUACUGACGCUGAGGUGCGAAAGCGUGGGGAGCAAACAGG